GGUUCCGUAGCUCAGCUGGAUAGAGCACCGGCCUUCUAAGCCGUAGGUCACUGGUUCGAAUCCAGUCGGGAUCGCCA
rnacentral:tRNA from 1 species